GAUGAACGCUGGCGGCGUGCCUAAUACAUGCAAGUCGAGCGAACAGACGAGGCGCUUGCUCCUCUGACGUUAGCGGCGGACGGGUGAGUAACACGUGGAUAACCUACCUAUAAGACAGGGAUAACUUCGGGAAACCGGAGCUAAUACCGGAUAAUAUAUUGAACCGCAUGGUUCAAUAGUUCAAAACGGUUUUGCUGUCACUUAUAGAUGGAUCGGCGGCCCCUUAGCUAGUUGGUAAGGUAACGGCUUACCAAGGGAACGAUGCGUAGCCGACCUGAGAGAGUGUCCGGCCGAACGGGAGGUAAGACAGGGCCACGACUCCAAAGGGAGCGAGCAGUAGUGAUGCGUCCGAAGUGGGCGCAUGCGUGACGGAACCCCACCGCGUGGGUUGUGAGAGUCUUCGGCCUGUACACCGCUAUUAUUAGCGAAGGAAAAAUCUGUAAGUAAGUAGGCAAGGCUUGACGGUGGAUAACCAGAACGCCACAGCUAACUACGUG
rnacentral:rRNA from 1 species